GAUGAGGAACGUAGCGAAAUGCGAUAAGUAAUGUGAAUUGCAGAAUUCAGUGAAUCAUCGAAUCUUUGAACGCACAUUGCGCCCGCCAGUAUUCUGGCGGGCAUGCCUGUCCGAGCGUCAUUUCAACCCUCGAACCCCUCCGGGGGGUCGGCGUUGGGGAUCGGCCCUUUACGGGGCCGGCCCCGAAAUACAGUGGCGGUCUCGCCGCAGCCUCUCCUGCGCAGUAGUUUGCACACUCGCAUCGGGAGCGCGGCGCGUCCACAGCCGUUAAACACCCCAAACUUCUGAAAUGUUGACCUCGGAUCAGGUAGGAAUACCCGCUGAACUUAAGCAUAUCAAUAAGCGGAGGA
rnacentral:misc_RNA from 1 species